rnacentral:lncRNA from 1 species
CCUCAUUUAAUCAAAAAAAGUUUGAUAUAUGAUAACUAAAUAUUCAUUUUACUAGUGAUUUUAUAAUAACCUCACAAAUUAUUAUAGUAAUAAAUAAUACUAUGUUAUAUUUUUGCCAUGACUAAAAAAAUAUGUAGAAUAUAGAUCCAUAUAUAUAUAUGAUGCAUUAUUGAAAUAUGAUAUGCAUAUCUCUAAUCUUCCAUACUUUUUCUUUUUAUGAUCGUUAUGAUUAUGC